rnacentral:rRNA from 1 species
UACGAAGGGGGCAAGCGUUGUUCGGAAUUACUGGGCGUAAAGCGCGCGUAGGCGGCUUUGCAAGUCGGGUGUGAAAUCCCCAAGCUUAACUUGGGAACUGCAUUCGAGACUGCAUUGCUAGAGUAUGGGAGAGGGAAGUGGAAUUUCCGGUGUAGCGGUGAAAUGCGUAGAUAUCGGAAGGAACAUCAGUGGCGAAAGCGACUUCCUGGACCAAUACUGACGCUCAUGUGCGAAAGCGUGGGGAGCAAACAGG